AUUCUAAAUCGUUGUGGUCGCUCGCCUGAAAGGGCGGGAGGAAAGUCCGGGCAUCCUGAGUAAGAAUGGUUGCUAACGGCAACUGAGGCCAGAGAAAAGCUGGCAAAAGGAAAGUGCCACAGAAACGUUGUCUUCCGCCGAAGCCUUGGCGAAGGCGGAUAAGAAUGAAACGAUCCCGAUAAUCAGCGGGAUGAAUCCGAUUGUGAGAUCGGAGGAUGGAAAACCCCAUUCGAUGCAAGGUUGUAUGGAAGAGGGCGAUCAAAGCAGCCACUCACUGCCGCACUCUUGCAACCGCACCAAUGUUUCGGCAACGGAACAUGCAGAUAAAUGAUCACAUCCACGUAGCUUCGGCGAAAGUGGAACAGAACCCGGCUUAUGAAUUUAGAAUGAAC
rnacentral:RNase_P_RNA from 1 species